GAUGAAGAACGUAGCGAAAUGCGAUACUUGGUGUGAAUUGCAGAAUCCCGUGAACCAUCGAGUCUUUGAACGCAAGUUGCGCCCGAAGCCAUUAGGCCGAGGGCACGCCUGCCUGGGCGUCACACGUCGUUGCCCCCCCAUCUACUCCUUCGGGAUUGCGGGGGGCGGAUGAUGGCCUCCCGUGCGCCUCGUCGCGCGGUUGGCAUAAAUGCCAAGUCCUCGGCGACACACGCCACGACAAUCGGUGGUUGCGAAACCUCGGUUGCUCGUCGUGUGCGGUCGUCGCGCAUCGAGGGCUCGAAAAAAUUGCCGGGCUCCGGCUCGGCUUUCAACGCGACCCCAGGUCAGGCGGGGUUACCCGCUGAAUUUAAGCAUAUCAAUAAGCGGAGGA
rnacentral:misc_RNA from 1 species